CGACCUUUUUCUGGUUGCAGUUUCCACUUUGCCCCCAAAGAGCGCCAAGUCCAGUCUGGCUUCUUUCAGGGGCCAAGUUGAAGGUGAAGAGUAAGGAAGAGCAUAGCCUUUUUGCGCUUGAUGGGGCCCCCCUGACUCAUUUGUGAUGCUUGGGACUCAUUUGCGAUUCUGUGUGGGAAAGUUUGGGACUGGCCAGUGUGGCUUGUUGGGAGCUGUGAUUCAUUCGGGCCCACAGGGAACAAAAGCCCAGGUCCCAACAAGGGCCCCUCUGCUCUGGUCAGCCUGGUCCUUUGGUCGAGGGGUGAGUCACACACACACCCCUCAGGACUGCUGCUAUUUUCACUUAGCCUGGGCCUUCAGAAAUCAAACAGCCAAUUCCUCUUUUCUUGACUUUUGGAGGGGAUAAGAGGAGUAUAAAGAGGGAGGACUGACAAGAGGAACUAAGCUGCCAUUGGUUCCAGGGCAGCCCCCGAAAGGGAUCACAUCUCGGGAAGGAGCUUGUAGGUGCAGCCUUGCUGUGUCUCACAACCUCGUUCCUGCCUGGCUGGAGGCAGGGCCUGCAGCCUCCACCUCCAGACUCUCUCCCUCAAAGUGAAAAACAACCCGCCCGCUACGACCUGCUGGAAUUUCCAAGUAUCCUAGAUGAUAGUUUGCCGAGGACACUGGUCACUGGGUCCCUGCUUCGGUAAAUCACAUGAGCUCCAUUUCCCACAAAAUGAGGAUUGCCACAUGGAGCUGACAAAGUUGUCAUGGACCGAAAAGAAGAUGAUGAGCGUGAAACAUGGAUGACAACCUCUAGGCCCAUCCAUGUUGUUGCCAAUGACACUACUCCACUUGUGACCACUGCCUUCUCUCCCUGCAUCUCUGUGCCAUGGCUAUAAAAUGGGGAACAUAUCAAUUUCUACUCCAUCUGGCUGUUGGGAAGAAUUCAUUAGGAAAUGCUCAUCCAUGCCCAGCAGUUACAACAAUAAGUGGCUCAAGGAAGGUGCUCGAUUCCCUGUCAAAGCCUGUCAUCAUUCAGUCUGCAAGCAUGCAUUGCAAAGCUGCUGUCACCAACUCCACUGACAGCUGAAGAAACCAAGGCUCUGAGGGGCCAAGUCUGUGGCUUUACACCAACCAAUAGGUGAAGCUGAGACAGAACCCUGGAGGGUCCUGGAUGCAUGUUCUCUUCCCCUGAACCCAUGGUACCAGCCUCUUGUGUCCCCUCCCCUCUGGGUUCUGGAAAGGAGGCCCAGGGGAUGAGGGCUUAGGCAGUCUGCUGGCAUCACAGCAGAAACUUCAGGAAGCGCAGCACUGAG
ensembl:lncRNA